rnacentral:rRNA from 1 species
AACGAACGCUGGCGGCGCGUCUUAAGCAUGCAAGUCGAACGGCAAGAUAGGAGCUUGCUUCUAUCCUAGAGUGGCGGACUGGUGAGUAACACGUGGGUGAUGUACCCUUUAGAUGGGGAUAGCCAGUAGAAAUAUUGGAUAAUACCGAAUAAUCUUGCUUUUUUAGAGUAAAGUAAGGAAAGGAGCUUCGGCUUCGCUGAAGGAACAGCCCGCGCACUAUUAGCUAGUUGGUGAGGUAAAGGCCCACCAAGGCAACGAUAGUUAUCCGGCCUAAGAGGGUGAACGGACACAUUGGGACUGAGAUACGGCCCAGACUCCUACGGGAGGCAGCAGCUAAGAAUAUUCCGCAAUGGAGGAAACUCUGACGGAGCGACGCCGCGUGGAUGAUGAAGGUCGGAAGAUUGUAAAAUCCUUUUAUUAAUGAGGAAUAAUACGGACAGGUAAUGGUCUGUAGAUGACUGUAGUUAAUGAAUAAAGGGCGGCUAAUUACGUGCCAGCAGCCGCGGUAACACGUAAGCCCUUAGCGUUGUUCGGAAUUAUUGGGCGUAAAGGGCAUGUAGGCGGUUCUGCAAGCUUGGUGUGAAAUGCCGGGGCUUAACUCCGGCACUGCGUUGAGAACUGUAGAACUAGAGUAACUGAGGGGCAGCCGGAAUUCCAGGUGUAGGGGUGAAUUUUGUAGAUAUCUGGAAGAACACCAAUGGCGAAGGCAGGCUACCAGCAGAUUACUGACGCUGAGGUGCGAAGGUGCGGGGAGCAAACAGGAUUAGAUACCCUGGUAGUCCGCACAGUCAACGAUGUACACUAGGUGUCUGCACAUGAGUGUGGGUGCCAAAGCAAACGCGAUAAGUGUACCGCCUGGGGAGUAUGCCCGCAAGGGUGAAACUCAAAGGAAUUGACGGGGGCCCGCACAAGCGGUGGAGCAUGUGGUUUAAUUCGAUGGUACGCGAGGAACCUUACCUGGGUUUGACAUACAGAGGAAUUAUCUAGAGAUAGGUAAGCGUAGCAAUACGUCUCUGAACAGGUGCUGCAUGGCUGUCGUCAGCUCGUGCCGUGAGGUGUUGGGUUAAGUCCCGCAACGAGCGCAACCCCUACUGCCAGUUACUAGCAGGUAAUGCUGAGGACUCUGGCGGAACUGCCGGUGACAAACCGGAGGAAGGUGGGGAUGACGUCAAGUCAUCAUGGCCCUUAUGUCCAGGGCUACACACGUGCUACAAUGGUUGAUACAGAGUGAUGCCAAGGGGCGACCUGGAGCAAAACGCAGAAAAUCAAUCGUAGUUCGGAUUGGAGUCUGAAACCCGACUCCAUGAAGUUGGAAUCGCUAGUAAUCGCAUAUCAGCACGAUGCGGUGAAUACGUUCCCGGGCCUUGUACACACCCCCCGUCACACCAUCCGAGUGGGGGGUACCCGAAGCCGGUUGUCUAACCGCAAGGAGGACGCUGUCUAAGGUACGCCUCGUGAGGGGGGUGA